GCUCGGGUGGUGAAACGGCAGACACGCAAGCUUGAGGUGCUUGUGCCCGCAAGGGCGUGCAGGUUCAACUCCUGUCCCGAGCA
rnacentral:tRNA from 1 species